UAAGGACUCGGCUUUCGCGAAGGCUGCUGGGGCGCGGAUGUCGGGGACGCGCAGGAGCGCGCUCAGCUGGAAGGAUGCGCUUUUCUGGUCGCGCGCGACGGAACCGGGACUCUUGAGUGGAAACCGAAGACGCGCGAGGGAGGAACGUGUGGAGCAUGAAGAGGCAGGCGGGCUCCUCGGAGCGGAAACGGGCGCGGAUACCGUCUGGGAAGGCCGGAGCAACAAAUGGAUUUCUUAUGGAAGUGUGUGUGGAUUCAGUGGAAUCAGCUAUAAACGCAGAAAGAGGAGGUGCUGGUCGGAUUGAAUUAUGUUCUGGUUUAUUGGAAGGAGGAACCACACCCAGCAUGGGUAUCCUUCAAGUGGUGAAACAGUGUGUCCAGAUCCCAGUUUUUGUGAUGAUUCGGCCACGCGGAGGUGAUUUUUUAUAUUCAGAUCGUGAAGUUGAGGUGAUGAAGGCCGACAUUGGUCUUGCCAAACUUUAUGGUGCUGAUGGUUUGGUAUUUGGGGCAUUGACUGAAGAUGGACACAUUGACAAAGAGCUGUGCAUGUCCCUUAUGGCUCUUUGCCGUCCUCUGCCAGUCACUUUCCACCGAGCCUUUGACAUGGUUCAUGAUCCAAUGGCAGCUCUAGAGACUCUCUUAACUUUGGGAUUUGAACGAGUAUUGACCAGUGGAUGUGACAGUUCUGCACUAGAAGGGCUGCCUCUCAUAAAGCGACUCAUAGAUCAGUUCUUUUGGGAAGCACUGCUUGCAGGCAGUUCCAGCAAAAGGCAGAAUUGUGGUAAUGCCAGGGGGUGGUAUAACAGACAGAAAUCUACAAAGGGUCCUUGAGGGUUCGGGUGCCACAGAAUUCCACUGUUCUGCUCGGUCUGCUAGAGAUUCAGGAAUGAAGUUUCGAAAUUUCUCUGUUGCCAUGGGAGCCUCUCUUUCUAGCUCAGAAUAUUCUCUGAAGGUAACAGAUGUGACCCAAGUAAGGACUUUGAAUGCUAUUGCAAAGAAUAUUCUGGUGUAGCCAAACCUCUCUGAGAUAGAUGCAUGUCCCAGGAUGGAGGCAGAGGAGUAAUCUACAAUUCUCUGUGACACAACUUUAACCUUCUUCUCUGGCCAGGACAGUAACAGUCUUUGUUUUAAGUCUCACAUGGCCGUGGAGGAUGUUUCCAAGAAGAAAACGAACUUGAAACAGAGCUACAAUGACUCCCUUUGCUUAAUCUCGCCAGCUGUCUCCAUCAUCAUGGUUAAAUCUCAUCUAUGCUUCUUCCUCAGACAGAGGCUUAGUCUGUCUUAAUUGAUGAACUGAGAAAAUUCAACUGCAAGGCAUUAAUUCAAAGUGUGACUUCUGGGUCAGUUUCAUAGAAGUAUUUUGCUGUUUCAUUUGU